rnacentral:rRNA from 1 species
AUUGAACGCUGGCGGCAUGCCUUACACAUGCAAGUCGAACGGCAGCACGGGAGCAAUCCUGGUGGCGAGUGGCGAACGGGUGAGUAAAGUAUCGGAACGUGCCCAGUCGUGGGGGAUAACGUAGCGAAAGUUACGCUAAGACCGCAUACGAUCUAUGGAUGAAAGCGGGGGAUCGCAAGACCUCGCGCGAUUGGAGCGGCCGAUAUCAGAUUAGGUAGUUGGUGGGGUAAAGGCUCACCAAGCCGACGAUCUGUAGCUGGUCUGAGAGGACGACCAGCCACACUGGGACUGAGACACGGCCCAGACUCCUACGGGAGGCAGCAGUGGGGAAUUUUGGACAAUGGGCGCAAGCCUGAUCCAGCCAUGCCGCGUGCAGGAUGAAGGCCUUCGGGUUGUAAACUGCUUUUGUACGGAACGAAAAGGUUUGGCCUAAUACGCCGAACUCAUGACGGUACCGUAAGAAUAAGCACCGGCUAACUACGUGCCAGCAGCCGCAGUAA